CUCGGAGCGCCAGCUUCGAAGGAGGCGUCGGUGGGAUACUACCCUGGUUGUAUUGAAAUUCUAACCCAUGCCCCUUAGCGGGGCAGGAGACAGUGUCAGGCGGACAGUUUGACUGGGGCGGUCGCCUCCUAAAAGGUAACGGAGGCGCCCAAAGGUUCCCUCAGAAUGGUUGGAAAUCAUUCGGAGAGUGUAAAGGCACAAGGGAGCUUGACUGCGAGACCUACAAGUCGAGCAGGGUCGAAAGACGGGCUUAGUGAUCCGGUGGUUCCGCAUGGAAGGGCCAUCGCUCAACGGAUAAAAGCUACCCCGG
rnacentral:rRNA from 1 species